rnacentral:rRNA from 1 species
UUAAUUUAUUAGACUUAUAUAACAGAAAUGGAUUAUAGCUUAAGUAUUAAGAGAUUUUCAUUCUUUUUGCAUAACGAAUUAACUAUAAUUAUCUAAAUUUAGAUUUCCCGAAAGUAGAAGAUCUAACUUUUCUCUUGUUUUAGAAAAUGGUUGGUUAUGUUGAAUUAUGGCUAUAAGAUGAAAUGUUAGGGGCGAAAAACCUACAAUUCUACUGAUAUCUGGAUUUGAAGUAAAAGUAUCUAGUACUCAAAACAAGUAUAGAGCUUUUAGGCUCUCUACAAAAAGAAUAUUUAAUUUUUUAACCUAAAUUAGAAUUAAUAGUUCUUAUUUAAAUGUCAGAUCAUAAUUUAUUUUAUACUUAAUCUUUUUUAUGCUUCAUAAACAACUCUAAUUAUUUAGUUGUUUUAAAAUGUUAAUAUUAGUAAUAACUUUUAAGGUUAUAUGAAAUAUAGGUAAAGGAACUCGGCAAAUUCUAACUUUAACUGUUUAUCAAAAACAUAGCUUUAAGUUUUAUUUAAGGUGAGACCUGCCCAGUGCUAAUUUGUAAACGGCCGCAGUACCUUGACUGUGCUAAGGUAGCAUAAUCAGUUGGCUUUUAAAUGGAGUCGGGAAUGAAUGGAUUAAUAGGGUUAAGCUGUCUCUACUAUAUUAAAUUGAAUUUACUUAUUAGGUGAAAAUACCUAAGUUAUAAAAGAAAAAAGACGAGAAGACCCUAGGAGUUUUAACUAGAUACUAUUAAUGAUAGUUAAUGUUUUUGUUGGGGCGACAUUGGAACAAUUGUAUUUAACUUCCUUUAUGUUAUGGGCCGACUUUGUAUGUGAAUUUAAACUACCCUAGGGAUAACAGCGUAAUUCUUUUGAGUUUGCGACCUCGAUGUUGGACUAGGAAUUUGGUAGGCUAGCCGCCUAUUUAUAUUGUUCUGUUCGAACUGUUUUUCCUACAUGAUCUGAGUUCAGACCGGCGUAAGCCAGGUCAGAUUCUAUCUUUUAAGUUUUAUCUUUAGUACGAAAGGAUUAA